rnacentral:rRNA from 1 species
UACGUAGGGUGCAAGCGUUAAUCGGAAUUACUGGGCGUAAAGCGUGCGUAGACGGUAGCGUAAGUCGGGUGUGAAAGCCCCGGGCUCAACCUGGGAAUUGCAUUCGAGACUGCUCUGCUAGGGUGCGGAAGAGGGGAGCGGAAUUCCGGUGUAGCGGUGAAAUGCGUAGAUAUCGGAAGGAACACCAGUGGCGAAAGCGGCUCCCUGGUCCAGCACCGACGUCAG